rnacentral:tRNA from 2 species
GAGGAUUUAGCUUAAUAAAAGCGAUUGAUUUGCAUUCAUUAGAUGUAAGAAGUAAUCUUGCAGUCCUUA